rnacentral:rRNA from 1 species
UACGUAGGGCGCAAGCGUUGUCCGGAAUUAUUGGGCGUAAAGAGCUCGUAGGCGGUCUGUCGCGUCGGCUGUGAAAGCCCGGGGCUCAACCCCGGGUCUGCAGUCGAUACGGGCAGGCUAGAGUGCGGUAGGGGAGACUGGAAUUCCUGGUGUAGCGGUGAAAUGCGCAGAUAUCAGGAGGAACACCGGUGGCGAAGGCGGGUCUCUGGGCCGUUACUGACGCUGAGGAGCGAAAGCGUGGGGAGCGAACAGG